GAGAGAAACAAACAGAACAAGGAGAAUCAGGGCUGGAGUAAGAAAACAGGAUUCGGUGCACACGCACGUACGCACACAUGUACGCACACGCACACACCACACACACAAAGUACGUGAGCAGUCAGGGCUGGAGUCAGGAAGCAGACCUCGGUGCACACGCACGUACGUGCACACACACACACACACACACACACACACACACACACAAUUAGAGAUUGAGAAAAACAAACAGCACCAGGAGCACCAACCAAGACGCAGUGGUGUGGAACGCGGGCAGCGCCUUACGGGUCCCGGAGCCCCUUUUCGUGCUGGGGGGACGCCCGGGCGGACUUACCGGACCCCUAGGUUGAUGUAGAGGCCGAUCUUCAACCUGUCCCGCCCUCUUGGCAAAAAAGAAAAUGCUCCUUUUUCAUCACUCACAACUAUAUUUAGGUAUCUGUUUUGUUUACCCCCCCAAAUCCCGGGUAGAAUGCAUGGCACAUGGUGAGCCCACAAUAAAUGCAAGAUUAAAUGGAUAAUGCCCAGAGAACCGGUACUGAAAAUUUUGAAGCUAUAUGUUAACGCCCAUCGAUAGGAAAACCGAUAAAUAAAUAAUGGUCCUUCUAGGCUGUGAAAUACUAUUUCAGCCAUUAAAGUGUACAUUCGUGUGGUCUGACUCAAUAGAUCUCCAGGAUAUAUUUUUUAAAAAACACCUAUGUUAUGAU